AUGGUUAAGUUAGAAAGGGCGCACGGUGAAUGCCUUGGCACUAGGAGCCGAUGAAGGACGGGACUAACACCGAUAUGCUUCGGGGAGCUGUAAGUGAGCUUUGAUCCGGAGAUUUCCGAAUGGGGAAACCCACUGUUCGUAAUGGAACAGUAUCUUUAUCUGAAUACAUAGGAUAUUGAAGGCAGACCCGGGGAACUGAAACAUCUAAGUACCCGGAGGAAGAGAAAGCAAAUGCGAUUUCCUGAGUAGCGGCGAGCGAAACGGAAUUAGCCCAAACCAAGAGGCUUGCCUCUUGGGGUUGUAGGACACUCUAUACGGAGUUACAAAGGAACGAAGUAAAUGAAGCGACCUGGAAAGGUCCGUCGAAGAAGGUAACAACCCUGUAGUUGAAACUUCGUUCCCUCUUGAGUGGAUCCUGAGUACGGCGGAACACGUGAAAUUCCGUCGGAAGCUGGGAGGACCAUCUCCCAAGGCUAAAUACUACCUAGUGACCGAUAGUGAACCAGUACCGUGAGGGAAAGGUGAAAAGCACCCCGGAAGGGGAGUGAAAGAGAUCCUGAAACCGUGUGCCUACAAGUAGUCAGAGCCCGUUAACGGGUGAUGGCGUGCCUUUUGUAGAAUGAACCGGCGAGUUACGAUCCCAUGCAAGGUUAAGCCGAUAAGGCGGAGCCGUAGCGAAAGCGAGUCUGAAUAGGGCGUUUAGUAUGUGGUUGUAGACCCGAAACCAGGUGAUCUACCCAUGUCCAGGGUGAAGUUCAGGUAACACUGAAUGGAGGCCCGAACCCACGCACGUUGAAAAGUGCGGGGAUGAGGUGUGGGUAGCGGAGAAAUUCCAAUCGAACCUGGAGAUAGCUGGUUCUCUCCGAAAUAGCUUUAGGGCUAGCCUCAUGUUGUGAGAGUCUUGGAGGUAGAGCACUGAUUGGACUAGGGGCCCCCAACGGGUUACCGAAUUCAGUCAAACUCCGAAUGCCAAAGACUUAUCCAUGGGAGUCAGACUGCGAGUGAUAAGAUCCGUAGUCAAAAGGGAAACAGCCCAGACCACCAGCUAAGGUCCCCAAGUAUACGUUAAGUGGAAAAGGAUGUGGAGUUGCUUAGACAACCAGGAUGUUGGCUUAGAAGCAGCCACCAUUUAAAGAGUGCGUAAUAGCUCACUGGUCGAGUGACUCUGCGCCGAAAAUGUACCGGGGCUAAACGUAUCACCGAAGCUGUGGAUUGACAUCUUUGAUGUCAGUGGUAGGAGAGCGUUCUAAGUGCUGUGAAGUCAGACCGUAAGGACUGGUGGAGCGCUUAGAAGUGAGAAUGCCGGUAUGAGUAGCGAAAGACAAGUGAGAAUCUUGUCCACCGAAUGCCUAAGGUUUCCUGAGGAAGGCUCGUCCGCUCAGGGUUAGUCGGGACCUAAGCCGAGGCUGAAAAGCGUAGGCGAUGGCCAACAGGUUGAUAUUCCUGUACCACCUCCCCGCCGUUUGAGUAAUGGGGGGACGCAGUAGGAUAGGGUAAGCGCGCUGCUGGAUAUGCGCGUUCAAGCAGUUAGGCUGAUGAGUAGGCAAAUCCGCUCAUCAUAAAGGCUGAGCUGUGAUGACGAGGGAAUUAUAGUACCGAAGUUCCUGAUUCCACACUGCCAAGAAAAGCCUCUAGCGAGGCGGGAGGUGCCCGUACCGCAAACCGACACAGGUAGGCGAGGAGAGAAUCCUAAGGUGAUCGAGAGAACUCUCGUUAAGGAACUCGGCAAAAUGACCCCGUAACUUCGGGAGAAGGGGUGCUCUGGUAGGGUGUAUAGCCCGAGAGAGCCGCAGUGAAUAGGCCCAGGCGACUGUUUAGCAAAAACACAGGUCUCUGCGAAGCCGCAAGGCGAAGUAUAGGGGCUGACGCCUGCCCGGUGCUGGAAGGUUAAGAGGAGGGGUUAUCCUUUGGGAGAAGCUCUGAAUCGAAGCCCCAGUAAACGGCGGCCGUAACUAUAACGGUCCUAAGGUAGCGAAAUUCCUUGUCGGGUAAGUUCCGACCCGCACGAAAGGCGUAACGAUCUGGGCACUGUCUCAACGAGAGACUCGGUGAAAUUAUAGUACCUGUGAAGAUGCAGGUUACCCGCGACAGGACGGAAAGACCCCGUGGAGCUUUACUGUAGCCUGAUAUUGAAUUUUGGUACAGCUUGUACAGGAUAGGUAGGAGCCUGAGAAGCCGGAGCGCUAGCUUCGGUGGAGGCGUCGGUGGGAUACUACCCUGGCUGUAUUGAAAUUCUAACCCGCGGCCCUGAUCGGGCCGGGAGACAGUGUCAGGUGGGCAGUUUGACUGGGGCGGUCGCCUCCUAAAAUGUAACGGAGGCGCCCAAAGGUUCCCUCAGAAUGGUUGGAAAUCAUUCGUAGAGUGUAAAGGCACAAGGGAGCUUGACUGCGAGACCUACAAGUCGAGCAGGGACGAAAGUCGGGCUUAGUGAUCCGGUGGUUCCGCAUGGAAGGGCCAUCGCUCAACGGAUAAAAGCUACCCCGGGGAUAACAGGCUUAUCUCCCCCAAGAGUCCACAUCGACGGGGAGGUUUGGCACCUCGAUGUCGGCUCAUCGCAUCCUGGGGCUGUAGUCGGUCCCAAGGGUUGGGCUGUUCGCCCAUUAAAGCGGUACGCGAGCUGGGUUCAGAACGUCGUGAGACAGUUCGGUCCCUAUCCGUCGUGGGCGUAGGAAAUUUGAGAGGAGCUGUCCUUAGUACGAGAGGACCGGGAUGGACACACCGCUGGUGUACCAGUUGUCUUGCCAAAGGCAUCGCUGGGUAGCUAUGUGUGGACGGGAUAAGUGCUGAAAGCAUCUAAGCAUGAAGCCCCCCUCAAGAUGAGAUUUCCCAUAGCGCAAGCUAGUAAGAUCCCUGAAAGAUGAUCAGGUUGAUAGGUCAGAGGUGGAAGCGUGGCGACAUGUGUAGCUGACUGAUACUAAUCGAUCGAGGACUUAACCAAAC
rnacentral:rRNA from 1 species